rnacentral:rRNA from 1 species
UACAGAGGUCUCAAGCGUUGUUCGGAUUCAUUGGGCGUAAAGGGUGCGUAGGUGGCGCCGUAAGUCAGGUGUGAAAUCUCGGGGCUCAACCCCGAAACUGCACUUGAUACUGCGGUGCUCGAGUACUGGAGAGGAGAUUGGAAUUUACGGUGUAGCAGUGAAAUGCGUAGAUAUCAUGAGGAAGACCAGUGGCGAAGGCGGGUCUCUGGACAGUUCCUGACACUGAGGCACGAAGGCCAGGGGAGCAAACGGG